UUGGUCUGGUCUGGUUUGGUCUCCAUGGAAACAACCAGAAAAGUUCCAGAGUGCAGCUUUAAGGUGAAGAUCUGACCUGUAAAUAACAUCUCCAUGGAAACAAGCAGGGGGAAGCUGUCUACCAGAAAAGUUCCAGAGUGCAGCUUUAAGAUGAAGCAGCGUCUCCAGCGUCUCUGUACGUGGCCCCUCCCACCAGAGCAGCACAAAUGAAGACUUGUCUCUUUCCAAACGCUCUUAAAGGACGAUCGUUUUGACUGUUGACCGUGACACCCUCAUCAGAAAAAUGUCCAACAUGAGAAAAGUGGAGCC